rnacentral:rRNA from 1 species
UACGUAGGGACCGAGCGUUGUCCGGAAUCAUUGGGCGUAAAGAGCGUGUAGGCGGCCUUUUAAGUCCUGCGUGAAAUCCUGCGGCUCAACCGCAGACGGUCGUGGGAAACUGGAAGGCUAGAGUGCGGGAGAGGAGAGUGGAAUUCCCGGUGUAGCGGUGAAACGCGCAGAUAUCAGGAGGAACACCCGUGGCGAAAGCGGCUCUCUGGGACGGUACUGACGCUGAGACGCGAAAGCGUGGGGAGCAAACAGG